rnacentral:rRNA from 1 species
UGGGGAAUUUUGGACAAUGGGUGAGAGCCUGAUCCAGCCAUGCCGCGUGCAGGAAGAAGGCGUUAUGCGUUGUAAACUGCUUUUUGCCAGGGGAUAAAAAGGCCGUGCGCGGUUAAUUGAAGGUACCUGGUGAAUAAGCCACGGCUAACUACGUGCCAGCAGCCGCGGUAAUACGUAGGUGGCAAGCGUUGUCCGGAUUUAUUGGGUUUAAAGGGUGCGUAGGUGGCCCUGUAAGUCAGUGGUGAAAUAUCUCAGCUUAACUGAGAGGGUGCCAUUGAUACUGCAGGGCUUGAGUACAGAUGAGGUAGGCGGAAUUGACGGUGUAGCGGUGAAAUGCAUAGAUAUCGUCAAGAACACCGAUAGCGAAGGCAGCUUACCAAGCUGUAACUGACACUGAGGCACGAAAGUGUGGGGAUCAAACAGGAUUAGAUACCCGCGUAGUCCCUGAGCGGGCUGGCAAGGCGCAU